GUGUGUUCCACAACGAAGAUUAAGAGAUUUUGUCUGUACUUACAAAGAGUUAAGACUGCCCACUUCUGCGGUGGGAUAGAAUCUCAGCUUCAUUCCCUCACCCACCUGUCAACCACUGAUUUUGUAAUGGAAGCUCAUAAAAAUGAUUGGUGGAUACAUUUAAUACCAAAUCUGAGUGGUUGCAAAUCACACACAGCUUUUAUCAUUCAGUAUUUCUAUCAAAUUUGUAAGCCUAAAAAAGAAGAGAGUUGCACAGAAAAAUCAGCACUCAGUCUAUUUAUCUUUCUUAACUUGUGGUGGGAGGAGGAAGAAGAGAAAAUGUAUGCACCACCGGGGUACCAAGAAAUGUCGCCGGUUGAUCACGUUCGACGGCGCCACGAGGAGAAGGGUUGCCUCUAUGCUUGUUUGUUUGCAGCUUGUUGUUGUUUCUGCUUGCUAUGAGACUUGUGAGUGCUGUUUAGAUGUACUCUGUUGUUGCUGCACUUGAUUUGUCAUCUUUUAUUUGGAGAUGGAGACUUGGAGUCUCCGCUCUUUAGAAAGGAGGUUCUGAGUUUAAAAUUUUAUGGAUGACGGGUUGUAAUAAAAGUAAAAAGAAUCGGAGAUUAGAUUUCUCAUGAAUAAAUAAUGUAAUAAACUAUAUAUAAAAAAUGCUACUCUAGUUAUAUUUUAUACAUCA